GCUGCAUCCUUGGAAGGACACAGAAUUUAAAGUCAUGUCUUCAAAGGCUAUGGAGGUGGGGCAGAGCGUUGUUAAAUGGGACUGUCUAGCCUACAAAGUAAAAACAGGUGUGAAUGGGGUCUGAAAUGUUUUGAUCCACUUUCAGAUAUAGUUGAAAAUGUAUUUGACUGGAUUGCUUUCAUAGUGUAAACACUCAUUCGGUCGAAUGCAAACCACCACUAAAGACAGCCUCCUCUCUUCCAACUGAUCUAAGUCUUAAACAUUAGAGGACGUGUUGUUGAAGCACGAUAAUAGAUGGGAUUUAAACUUUACAGACUGAAUUCAUACAUCUGGUUUGAAGGUGAAAAAAUGUCAAAAGCACAAUGUUCUCUUACCAGUCCUGAUUCAAACACAAACUAACACAAAAUAAAUUAUUUGAUCAUUACACACAAUAAAAAUAAAACAAAUCUUUCUGUUUUUUUUUUGUUUGUUUUUUGUGUGUGUGUAUCACUUCAAUUAUCAGGUGGACUGAUGUAUCUACAGCGUCAAAUAUUAAACAUGAUAAUACACAUAAACAUGUAUUAAAGUGUUUGUUUUGUUUUGACACAGAUACAUUGUUAAUAGUGCUGGUCUCCAUUGGUGUUGCUGGAAGUUUCUCUGGACUCAUGGGACUCAUCUGUCUGUGCCAGUUUGCAUGCUUCUGUCUGGACUCAUAGGAUUCAUCUGUCUGUGCCGCUUUACCAGUUCUGCUGAUGUUCUCACAGAAGUGAACUACACCUCCUGCCAGAUGGAAACAACAUCUCUUUUAACUUCCUCUGUGUGCUCCUCAAAACAUGAAUGACCUGUUUAUGUUCUUCACUUGUUGCCUCUGAUGAAGAUAAAAAUGAUAUGUAAAGAUAAUAUAGCAUAAAGCAACUGAAUUCAUAUUUUGAUUU